UCCAGACUCCUACGGGAGGCAGCAGUGGGGAAUAUUGGGCAAUGGGCGCAAGCCUGACCCAGCAACGCCGCGUGAAGGAAGAAGGCUUUCGGGUUGUAAACUUCUUUUAAGAGGGAAGAGCAGAAGACGGUACCUCUUGAAUAAGCCACGGCUAACUACGUGCCAGCAGCCGCGGUAAUACGUAGGUGGCAAGCGUUGUCCGGAUUUACUGGGUGUAAAGGGCGUGCAGCCGGGAAGACAAGUCAGAUGUGAAAUCCCGCGGCUCAACCGCGGAACUGCAUUUGAAACUGUUUUUCUUGAGUACCGGAGAGGUCAUCGGAAUUCCUUGUGUAGCGGUGAAAUGCGUAGAUAUUAGGAGGAACACCAGUGGCGAAGGCGGCUUACUGGACUGUAACUGACGUUGAGGCUCGAAAGCGUGGGGAGCAAACAGGAUUAGAUACCCCAGUAU
rnacentral:rRNA from 1 species